rnacentral:lncRNA from 1 species
AGACAAAGGCUACAGAAAUAAACUUUAUAAUAUGAGGCAGAGCUGCAAAGGACUGAAGGACAAAGUUGCAUGUUUAUAGUUGACAGCUCUAUAGAAACUGAAUUUGCAAGCUGGUCUAGAAUUUUACUGUGGUAAUGGAUGCGAUAUUCCCUGUCAGACUGCGAAGGGACCAAAUCAGACUAUAUAUACAUAGCAGGGAGAAGAUGUAGCAUAUGGCAACCUGUGAAAAGAGUAAUUAACCAUGUGUGAUUACAAACUCAUAGCAGAAUUUCACAAGGUGAUUUGGAGUGGGUAUGUGCUGUUGUGCUUCUGAGUACAAAUAAAGUUAACAGUGAUCU